rnacentral:rRNA from 1 species
CGCGAACGCUGGCGGCAGGCUUAACACAUGCAAGUCGAGCGGGCAUCCUUGUGGUGUCAGCGGCAGACGGGUGAGUAACGCGUGGGAACGUGCCCUUCGGUUCGUAAUAACACCGGGAAACUUGCGCUAAUACCGGAUACGUGCGAGAGCAGAAAGGUUUAUCUGCCGAAGGAUCGGCCCGCGUCUGAUUAGUUAGUUGGUGAGGUUAUGGCUCACCAAGGCGACGAUCAGUAGCUGGUCUGAGAGGAUGAUCAGCCACACUGGGACUGAGACACGGCCCAGACUCCUACGGGAGGCAGCAGUGGGGAAUAUUGGACAAUGGGGGCAACCCUGAUCCAGCCAUGCCGCGUGAGUGAUGACGGCCUUAGGGUUGUAAAGCUCUUUUCUUCGGGACGAUAAUGACGGUACCGGAGGAAUAAGCCCCGGCUAACUUCGUG